CCUCCUGUUCUUGGCACGGCUGCCUUGUCUGUAAGUGUAUAAUACGGAGGGACAGUAACCUCAGUGUUAUGUCUUCAGUGGCAGUGGCUGCCGUCCACUACUCUGUCUUCGCUCACUGAAACACCA
ensembl:snoRNA